AAGAGAGUCUGUUUGCCUGGGAGUGCAUGUUUCAAAUGCUUAGCUGCCUAUAAAGCUGCAACAGUUCAGCCUGUGGCCACUGAGGGAAGAAUAUAAGUUAACCUCUGUAGUGACCAUGUGGAAGUCCUGACCUUGCUUGCAGACUUGACCUCUGGAUAUGACAAGGUAAGGUUCUGUGUUCACUGAUACCUCCCCUCACUUCACCCAGCUCAUGAAAAGAAGUGCUGAAUCAGCGAAUAGAGUGAAGGAACCAUCAAGAUGAGAUGGCUGCUGCUGCUAUGACUCUCUAGGUCAUUAUCUCUGUUCCUGCUGCAAACGCUGCAUGACACUAAGCUCACAGGCUCUAGAGGCAAACUACAAAAUAAGAAGAAAUUCACUCUGAAGACUAUGAAGAAACACUACGCUGGUCUUACCAAUUUCUGAAAUACACUCUGUAAAACUCCACUGACUCUAUGAAUCUCUUGCAAAAACAACCAAACCAGGACAAAGUUCAACAGAUAACUGGUCAAUGUUUAGAAGUACAUGUCCACCAAGAACAAGGAACUAUAAAUGGCACUAAUGUCAUGCUUCAGGUAAAUUUGUUAUCAAAAGUUUAGUCUUUGAUAGUCUCUGCAAAUGAUCUACCAUUGCUCUACAUCAGUAAGCUAGCUGUUUUACUAACAAAUGGGAAAAUAAAACAUUUCAUGUUUUUACAGCUAACAACUUAGUAAUACCUACUCAGAGUACAUACUUCUUUAUGUACCCAUAUGAACAUACAAUGCUAUGGAAUGUAAAGAAGUAUGUAUUUUUGGUAGGCAAUAAACCACCAAGAGGGAACUAAACUGCAGCCAAAAGAAGCCCUUGCUUCUUUCUAUGUGAAUGACCUUCAUAUGAUAAAUUAACCUAGCAUCAAAGAGAUGACCUUUGGUAAUACUAACACCAUAAAAAUGUACCUAAUACUUACAGAUGGAAAGUAAAUGUCACUAAGAUUUAUAUUUUGUGAAGAAAAAAAGCUCUACUGAAAUAGAUUUAAAAUUAUCAUGAAACGCCUUUUAAAUCUUUUAAGUUUAAAACAUACUACAUUUUACAUUUUUAAAUUAAGCACUCAUGAUUAAAAUUUGAAUACAAAAGAGAAGACAGUAUUACUAGCACAAAAGAAUAAAGGAUACACAUGACCUAUUUUCUGUCUCCACAAUUUGAUCUUAAUUUAAAUAUAACACAUUAGCAGGGCCGACUGAUUUGUUAAGA